UACAGAGGAGCCAAGCGUUGUCCGGAUUGACUGGGCGUAAAGCGCACGCAGGCGGACGCGCGCGUGGGGUGUGAAAUCUGGCCGCUUAACGGCCAGGCGCCAUCCCAUACGGCGCGUCUGGAGCAAUGCAGAGGUCGGUGGAAUUGCCGGUGUAGUGGUGAAAUGCGUAGAGAUGUGGAGGAACACCGAUGGCGAAGGCAGCCUCCUGGGCCAGCACUGACGCUCAUGCACGAAAGCGUGGGGAGCAAACAGG
rnacentral:rRNA from 1 species